rnacentral:lncRNA from 1 species
CAUUUGGAAAACAACGUUUUGGAGGGAAUGUUCUGAUUUAUCCGGGUAGUCAGCGCCCCUAGCGAGUGCCCCAAAAUUUGCCGUUGUUCAUGUCAGCACCUGGAGAGGACGCUGUUGUGGAUGUUUACUCGAGGACUCAUCUAUAUAAUAGAAAUGUGGAAUCGUACGCAAUGAAAAUAGACAGGAGUAACGUGAAAAUGACAGCCAAGAAGACGAAUCGUAGAUUCCAGGACAUGGAAUUCCAUAGUCGUGCUAGAUAGAGAUGAAUCCAUCGCUGGUAAAACUAUUUUACCAUUUGCAUUAUUUUUCUUAUUAGAUACAUGAUUUGAGUAUCACCCUUUCUACUUGGAAGAAAACAUCUGGGUAAAGUCAAGUUUGCAUAAAGUUAAAGCUUAAACAAAAAUUAUUUUGGCUUGUACAGGAAAAUACCAGAGCAUAUUUGUGAAGACUACAUUUUUGCUCAUGCUUUAACUGAGAUUGUCCUUUUGCAAGAGUUUACCAAUUGUCGUAGUCAAUGAUGCAAAUACCGAUUUGAAAGCCUGUACGGUGUUAGUUUUAUAAGGACUCCUAUCAGAGCUCAUCUUUUUAGUGCACUUAUUUGAAUCUGCGGAACCCUGUCAUUGGUUUUGGUCUAUAGGUAGAACCAAUAAGUAGAGGUUGUUGAGUUCCCCCCCAGUCCAAGGCAUUUUUCAAUACAUCAGCUGUGAUCAAUCUUUUCAAAAAAGAGAACGGCUGCAAACAUUUGAAGGAGAUAAUUGACCUCAACCACUGAUUAUUGAGAGUAGUGUUAAUUAUCAGGUUAUCAGAUUCGUUUUUUUUUUUUCAUGUAGUAAAUGUAUGUGUGUAGAUAGCAAGUAAGCUAAGGGAACUUUGCCCUUAAAUAUUGAAACAGCUGUUGGCAUUAAGUAUUUCUAAUCCAUUACCUUCAAAUCAGUUUAUCUCUAGUCUAUCCAACAGAUAAUACUACAUUUUUCAUUGAAUUAUUUUGAUUUCCAUUUAUAUUUUUAUGCAUCUGUUGUCGUGGAGAAGCUCGCAUUUAUCAGAUUAUUAAAAUUGUGGCUUUAACUUCGAUGUCGAUGGUGGAUUUCCAUCGGUGAAAUUUCCGACCAAUCCGUGGAGGUAUUAAAACAGUAAAAAACUAAAGGAUUAUUUCGAAAUCAAAUCAUGUGGGUCACGUCAUCAACAGAGUAGUCAACGACAAACAAAAACAAGUGCCGAGCUCGGUUUCAGAGGGUUUCAUGGCGCGAUAAUGGACGACGCUUCUCCUUUCAUCGAAAAUUUUUUUCCAAAGUAGAAAGUACUCUACCGUUAGAGGAAUGAAUAUGGCAUCACUGUUGGCGUGUCAUAAAUGUACGGACCAGUGUCCACAUUGAAGAGUGUUUCACUCCUAAAGUUUUAUUUUUGUUUCUUUUUUUGUGUAUUUGAAUGAAUGAGGGGGCAGAAGGGGGAUAUCCAAAUUCGCAACGCCAUCUAGCGUUAACUAGCAAAAUGCGAUUAGUGCCGCUUAAUAGAAAAAUUUAGUUGCGCCCUCUGGCUUCAAAGUAAAUGACAGAACCAGAGUCAUGGGUUCCAUGUUGGGAUCGUCCCCGACCCUAAUCGGGUGAAAUUUUGCCAAUGGAGGGGCGCUCGGGGUGAAAAUUUUUGAGCUCUGAUCUAAAUCAGGGUGCGUAAUCGGGGAUGUAACCCCGAUUGCAAUCGAUCGAGUCGAAAUCGAUUAGUAUGAUGAAAAUCAGGGAGUUCGCUCCGCUCACCCCGAUAAAAACCCGACCAAAAUUCAUAGUUUGAUUCAGGCGUCAUUUUUGCAAGUGGCGUUAGGGUAAGCGGGUUAACUCCAAUUUUUGCCCCGCCCCGGCUGUCGAAGUGGCACCCCGAUUCAGCCCCGAUUGCAUCUUCCCGUGGUGGGGCCCCGAUCAGCCAUAACCGCCCCGCCCCGGGAAAAGGCAAUCGGGUCUAGAUCGGGUUGACAUUUCGUCAGCCGGGGCGGGGCAGGGCUAAAAUCAGGGUAAACCUGCUUGCCCCGACAACAUUUGCAAAAUUGGCGCCUGAAUUGAAACUACGAAUUUGGGUCGGGUUUUUAUCGGGCAACCGGGGCGAACUCCCCAAUUUUCAUCAUAAUGAUCGAUUUCGACUCGAUCGAUUAUGUUUUUACGUCGAUCGAUUGAUUGCAAUCGGAGUUGCAUCCCCGAUUGAGAUCGGUGUUCACAAAUUUUCACUCGAACGCCCCGCCCCGAAUUUCGAAACACGAUUGGCAAAAUGUGCCCCGAUUAUGGUCGGGGCCGAUCCCUAGCUCUGACUAGGGCUGUGGCCCGGACCAAAUGGGACGGGAUUUUUCUUAUGUGGUUAAAAUUAACGGGUUUUUUUCCUUAAAGGGUUUUGAACCGGGUCGACGAGGCAAAAAAAAAUGUCCCGUCCAGCUUGACCCGUGGGUCAGAAAAAACAACCCGGGUCGGGUCAUGUCCCGCGUAAUUAUCGGGUCAAAUGCACUUUUCUUCUCUUCUUUUCAGUCUCGUCAUCAGACUCAACCAUUACAACGUUUAUAUUUGGAUAACUUCUUUUUUUGCCAGCAACAUCGCCUGAUUGACAGGAUUUAGGUACAUUUGGACGUUUUCUGCGAAUGGUGGCCAAUUUUCAAAACGAUUUUUUCCACUAUCCACAAUAUCUUUAAAUUUUUUUACAAUGAGCUACAACUUGAAGUAGGAAAGCAUAGCAUUUUAGCAUAGUCUCCAGCAGUUCAAAACUAUAUGUGAUUUUGUUUGGCAUAGAAUUGUGUAAAACUUGUGUAGAAAUUGUGGAAAGUGGAAAAAUUGUUUUGAAAAUUGGUCACCAGUCGCAGCACUAUAUUGAGACAAACGUCCCGAGGCGCCUGUGGGUUGGUGACUUGGUGGGAGGACCUAAGUUCCCAAGUACGCAGAGAGAUACCCCGAUUCCUGACCGUUACUGUAGAUUGCUAUGUUUUUAAGCUAUUCGGCUUUGUUGACUCGUAACUUAGCGUAAGAGUUAAAACCUUCUCUGUCUUACUACUAGAUGGCGCCACAUCUCGGGUUAGCCCGAAAACCCCUUGAACCAUACCGAAACCCGUCCCGAAAAAAAAAUUCCUUAAAGGGUUGCCUUUUAUCGGUUUUUUUUUUCCUUGACCCGGGAUCUGACCCGGGUUUUCAUGACCCGGGCCACAGCCCUAGCUCUGACAGAACCAUCUGAAGUUUUUCUGAAGUGUUCGGCAACGCUGACAGACCAGGAAGUGGAAACACUGGGCGUACAGAGUGAGUUAUCAGGUCGACAAGUGCUCUGCAAGUGCUAGAUUUCUGUCUCGUUGUAACAGUCAUGUGUCUUAUCAGCUUUCGUGUGGAUCGUGUGGAUGGAUUGGUACUGAACAAACUGUAGACUAGCUUAAUGCUUCUUCACCCAGUACACCACGUUCUUUCUUAUUAACUAGUGAGAGAAAAACAAAACGAAAUGACAAAACGAUCAGCUGAUUGCCAUUCCGUGGUAUUGAUGGCGGGAGUGCAAAAGCUACGAACUUAUCACCUGUUAUAAACCAAACGUCUGUCGAUGGCUGUGUUAAAAUAAAACAAAUUCUCUAUUUCACUUCCAGGUACUCACUUGUAUUCGGUUGAAAAUUGAUCAAGAGACGACUGGAUGCUGGUAGUCGGCGUUGAUGAUACCGUUUGCUACAAGUUAUUCAUCGAAAGCACGUGAAUUAUAGCUCAAUGGUUAAGCUUCGACAUUGUGCUCAAACAAGUGGGUUCGAUUCUCAUAUGAGUCAAGUUAUAAUGUGAUAUCCAAAGAGUUGAUGUGAUGUAGUUGCGUUUCGAAUAAAUAAUGUAAAUUGCA